AAUACCUUGAGUCUACCUCUAAUAUCCGUCUUAGAGGUUUCGACACAACCCAAUCCAUUAACCUUUCGCCACGAAUCACAAGUCCUCGUCUCUCACGAGCCUUAUUCUCCCAUGGUUUCACUAUCCUAGGGUCUCCUAGAUCAGUCUAAACCAUUUCUCCCAUUUCCUACUUUAUGCUCUGAUACCACUUUAUCUGUCACGCCCCGCGACCGCCCGCCUAUUUGGCCGGGUCGCGGCGCCGCAAACAUACCGCCGAACGCACAGAGUUUCCCCUGUACAUCCUAGGCGUCGCAAUCAAUACAAUAUACAAAUGUUCCAACCAGAAACUAAUAUCAAUCAAAAUUGCAUAAGGAAGUAUCAAUAACAUAAAACUAACUGCUAUUACAAGCAUACAUUUCUUACAACAUUUUACAUCACAGUUUUUCUUUUACAUUCAUUGACUUCCAAAUACAAUCAUAUUAUUAUAUUUUAGUACACUGUCCUCUAGUCCCCUAAGCUAAACAGUCUCAGGGUACAGCUACCUCGAUCUCUAUGGUAGGGAGCUAUCUACGAAGCUACGCCCUUGCCUCGCGCCGCCACGCCGCUCACGUACGAACCUGAAACACCCCAAAACAACGUGGGGUGAGAACAAACUCCAUGGUUCCCAGUAGGUACGGCCACCCAAGGAAAAAGCUCGACCAAUAGGUCCGAGGAGGCACUGCAACAAGUUAGUCCAAUAACAUAUAACAUAUAUAUAUUCGAUAUUAAACUAAAUGUCAUGCCUCGCAAAAUACAAUAUGCAAUACCUGUAACUUUAUGCAAGUAGAUUAAUUGAUUCUACUUCAUAUUAUUAGUCAUUCUUUACUUGUAGCCGUUCUUUACUUUAUUAGCUAUUCUCGAUCAUUAGCUUUUCUCUAGUCUUUACUUGGUCACAUUACGCUCAUUGGCGAUUCUAUCCUAAGGUUACUUUUACCUUAGCCAACUAUGCCACUCGACUCGGUCUUCAGUCAAUCCACUGCGGAUAGUCCGCACACUGGCUGCUCAACAGCCCACCGCACUCAAUGGCUUAGCCACCCGGCGGCGAAAUCAUCGCACACGCCCAGCACUAGCUCAAGUCACCCUGCGGCAUAAUCCACAAACGCGGCUCAACCGAUAUAGGCCACAAAUCGGCUCACCCAUCCGGCGGCGAAAUCGUCGCACACGCCACGUCGAUGGUAUAACCCCGGACGGCGAAAUCGUCGCACACGCCGAACACCACUUUGGGUGUUCCAUAAGCUCUGGGAUUCCGGAAUCCAUUUCACAUUACUCAAGGGUUGGUCUUAACCCUAUGGAAUUGACCUAUCUAGGCCCAAGCUUUUACUCAACCUAGGUUAAUACCUUAGGUUCGUUGCUUUCAUACUUAUAGCCUAGGUUUAUUAACACUAGGUCCAUUAUUCUCGUCUACCUAGAUUCACUUGACUCUAGGUUCAUACCUGUAUCUCACAACCUAUGUUCUCUAACAUUAGGUUUAAUGCCCUUCUCGUUAACCUAUGUUUAUUAACACUAGGUUCAUUAUCACUCUUGUUCAACCUAUGUUUAUUAACACUAUGUUCGAUGCCACUCAAUCUUUCCUAGGUUCAUGACACUAGGUUUAAUGCCACUCGAUCUAUGUGUAUAUAAAUGUCCACAUGCACAUGUCAUAUACUAAACCUCUUUACAUUAAGAUCUCCAGAACAUGCUUGUCAUAUAUUUUCUUUAGCAUUCUUAUUUCAUCUCUAUAUGCAUUCUUACAUUAGCAUUUCUACACAUGCAACUUGACUAACAUAUGUCAUUUACUUUAUGCUUUCCAAUUAACAUUAUUCGCACUACGUCAUUAUGCAUUACUAGCAUUCUUACAUUAGCAUUUUAAUAUAUGCAUCAUCCACGUCAUUUAUUAACAGGCAUCAAUAUGAAACCAUAUGUUCUUAGACAUAAAGGGCAACCUAGUCGCUUCGGUAAACACAACCCACUUUAGCUAGCUUUCCGAUUGCUUGUCAACACUUGCAAUCGGCCUCCCGCGGCACUCGGCACCCGUUUGGGCCCGAUCUUGAAGCAGCACUCCAAUAGCGCGUCGCUUCGCCGUUUCAAGAGUUAAAGGUCUUCGCCUUGCUAUUACGGCGCUCGGGACUCAAUCUCGCGAUUUAUGGAUGUCGCCUCGGCCUUCCAGGCGGAAACGAAGCUCCGAACGUCCUUUUCUUCAAUAUCUUUGCAACAGCUUGUAGGAUUGUCGAACCGACUUUGCCAAUGUGUUUCGUUACCUAUCAAUUAGGUUAACAGAGGGUCAAAUGAGAUCAAACCCUCCCAAAUCACAAAAUCCCAUUUUGGAUGCCCUAGAUGCUAUUACUACCAAAUCCCCUAAA
rnacentral:lncRNA from 1 species